UGACAAAAUAGCGGUAGCGGUGGCGGUGGCGGUGUUGGUGUUCCAAACCCACUGCGCAAGUUAGCAUCAGCCCUAUACUCAUCGGCGGAGCUCUCACUCUCUCUCUAGCACCUGUGCCACCAUUCGGACCCUAAGCAAUCUUCGAUGCCAAACAGAAGAAAUUUGAAAUUGGCAUGUGGGAUGUGAGGAAAAGGGUUUUACAAUUGCAAAUUGUACAAAACGGAAUUCAACAAUACAAUGGUCGCCUUUGAUACAGUGUUUGUAGUUGACCGGGAGGACAACUGGGAGGACAACCGGCAAUGGGCAACUUUGCAGCAGAAGGUUGUCUGGUGUACAAUGAAGUCUUAACAGCUAUCUGCAAAAAUUUGAAGAACGUUGAAGCCUUCGUCAAUUUGAUGAAAGUUAUGGGUUUCCCCUCAUUUGAUACGGGUUCAAUGUCAUGGUUAGAGUAGAAAAGGUAUACUUAUUUCAUCAAAUAUAAAUUUGAUGAAAAAAAAAAAGAGUAAGCGUUGGAGACGCUCUAA